UAUGUCUAAUAUAACAAAUUAGGAUUAGGAUGUAACGUUCCUGUACAACCAGAGACUGCAUCCAUCAGCCACACCAGGAAGCCGGAUCCUGGAACCACUUCAUGUGUAGGGGACCCGAUCCUGACAGCAACACUUGUAUGAAAUCCAUUGUGACUGUUGCUGGAAUGAUAAACCAGCUGUGAAGUUUAUUCUGGAAAGUGAGAAUCAGUAUCCUCCAUACAUACUGCUGAUGCUGCUCAGAGUUGUCUGAUGGUCUUCUAGCAUGCUGCAGCCUGUCAGCUCCUCCUCCAGUCUCUCCUUCUUUACCACAACAGCCUCCUCCGGCUCCACCAGAUGCUCCGUCACAACCACCGGCUGGCAGACAGAAAACACGUUUCUGAAGUCAUCUCUGGGGCUGCGUUAAAAAUCCGAUAAUCACAUGCAUACAUUUUUCAGUGUCCCUUUAACCACCCUUUCACUGGUUACACCGGGACUGGCGUGAUUUUAUCAAGAAGAAGAGACAGGCGGCAGCACUGACCUGUGACUGCUGAGCGUCAGUGUUCUCCAACAUGGCUGACUUGACUAUUCUUUUGGCAAUGGCAGUGCUGUCUUCUCCAAGGAGACGAUCUGUUCAAAGCAGAUCACAGGAGUUUGUUGUAAUAUGCUCACAGUUCCACACACAAGUCACACAAGUCAAUUUUGCUCUUGCCAUGUACUUGUUGAUUAAACACUGCGGUGCUACUGGAAUUUCUAGAAUGUCCUUUGUUAAAAUAUCUAUUUGUUGUCUCCUGCACGGUGGAUUGUUGCUAGACAUUAAUGUUUUCACAUUCACCGGUGUUGUCCAUGUUGUCUCUGUCCUGCUCUUCAGUCAGGGGGAGUCAGCGGGGGUGUUUAGAAACUGUU